rnacentral:rRNA from 1 species
UUAUGGAGAGUUUGAUCCUGGCUCAGGACGAACGCUGGCGGCGUGCCUAAUACAUGCAAGUCGAGCGGAGUAUUUCCUUCGGGGAAUGCUUAGCGGCGGACGGGUGAGUAACACGUAGGUAACCUGCCUAUAAGACUGGGAUAACUAUCGGAAACGAUAGCUAAGACCGG